UUGAAGUUGAAAAUAAAGGACCCGUGAUGGGUGGCAGACUCCAGUUUUUAGGGGAGGUGCUACCGAAAUUUUUCUAAGGAUUUGGAGUUGAUUUGGUUAAGAUUUCAAAAACGGAUGUUUUGAGGGAUUUCAAAGAAAAUUGGAUUUCUAUGAUUUGAUUGAUUUAUGAUUUUAACUUACUCGAUUUUUCAUAAUACC